AAGUCCUCAUGUGAUAAUAAGCCACUCCUCUUUCUUGAUGAUUCCGACUAACAUCUCUAACAAACAUUUGGUCAAACUUGAAGAAACAGCAACUUCGUAGGUAGAUGACACCAGUAUUCCAUGAGAAACGUGAUCCUCCAUUGGAACAUGAAAGGAAAGUAAGCUGAAAGGAACAGAGAAACAACUGGUAAAAUGUGUUUCCGGAUAUUAAAAUACAUCUAUAAUGCAUUAUUAAACAUAAUAACAUAUCCUUUACUGAGAAGAUUGAACAGCUAAGGAAAGAAUUCUCACCACCUUGCCCCUCGCUUUCUUAAUCUCACCUGGAUCAUGCCUCUCCAACCCUUCCGACCUUCUCCCAGGCUACUGAACAAGAGGUGGCUGCGCUUAUCCUUUCCUCUCGCCCCACCACCUGCCUGCUUGAUAC